AUACGUGCCAGCAGCCGCGGUAAUACGUAUGGUGCAAGCGUUAUCCGGAUUUACUGGGUGUAAAGGGAGCGUAGACGGAGAAGCAAGUCUGGAGUGAAAGCCCGGGGCUCAACCCCGGGACUGCUUUGGAAACUGUUUGUCUAGAGUGCCGGAGAGGUAAGCAGAAUUCCUAGUGUAGCGGUGAAAUGCGUAGAUAUUAGGAGGAACACCAGUGGCGAAGGCGGCUUACUGGACGGUAACUGACGUUGAGGCUCGAAAGCGUGGGGAGCA
rnacentral:rRNA from 1 species